GAAAAAAAUCUUCGCGCAUACGCAUUCACCUUCUUCAUCUACGCCACAGUGUGCUUUGGCCACGUGUCUGGAAAGAGGGAUUAAUCACGAUUCAUCCGCUGGAGUUAAGGUUGCUGCUUGUGGAAUUUGGAGCUGUGGAGAUUUGAGCUGUGCUCCAAAAGUGCAUGUAAAGAGUUCCCGAAUCGAAGUGAAGUGUGAAUGCAUCCUUCAAGCUGUGAUUAUAUACCUGAAUGAGAACCCUCAAAAUAUCAUCAGA